UGGGUGUACUUUUUGAAUUUUAAAGAAACGGAAGCCCAUAAGGAUGACAGGAACCUAACACUCUCCCAAAGCUCAUUAACCCACACUUGCAUCAAUAGAUUCAAAAUCUGAUGAUUUCAAGGGGGACCUUAUUAAGUCAUCAAUUUCAUUAAUUCAAGCAACAAAUUCAGAUGAGGUCUUACUUGCGUAUGAAAUGAAUGGAGAGAUGAAGUGAUUGCUGUUCACUUUCAAUUUGAUGGCCUAACAGAUCAUGAACUUGGAUCCUGGAGAACCAGUAACAGCUUAUAAAAAAGACUUGCAGGAAAUUUACCAUGUUCACAUUGGAUUUUCGUUCACAUUGGAUUUUCACCU
rnacentral:lncRNA from 1 species